rnacentral:rRNA from 1 species
GUUCGAGACUAGAACGUUGAUAGGCAGGGUGUGUAAGCGUUGUGAGGCGUUGAGCUAACCUGUACUAAUUGCCCGUGAGGCUUAACCAUACAACACCCAAGGGGUUU